rnacentral:rRNA from 1 species
UAAAGUGGCGACCGGGUGAGUAACACGUGACUAACCUACCUUUUAGUGGGGGAUAACCUCGGGAAACCGAGGCUAAUACCGCAUAACAUCGCAAGAUCAAAGCAGCAAUGCGCUGGAAGAGGGGGUCGCGGCUGAUUAGCUAGUUGGCGGGGUAAUGGCCCACCAAGGCGAAGAUCGGUAUCCGGCCUGAGAGGGCGCACGGACACACUGGAACUGAAACACGGUCCAG